AUACGGAGGGCGCGAACGUUGCUCGGAAUCAUUGGGCGUAAAGCGCACGUAGGCGGCCUGAUAAGUCGGAUGUGAAAGCCCACGGCUCAACCGUGGAAGUGCAUUCGAAACUGUCAGGCUUGAGUAUGGGAGAGGGUUGCGGAAUUCCCGGUGUAGAGGUGAAAUUCGUAGAUAUCCGGAGGAACACCAGCGGCGAAGGCGGCAGCCUGGACCAAUACUGACGCUUAGGUGCGAAAGCGUGGGGAGCAAACAGGAUUAGAAACCCCAGUAGUCC
rnacentral:rRNA from 1 species